rnacentral:tRNA from 1 species
UCCCUGAUAGCUCAGUUGGUAAAGAAUCUGCCUGCAAAGCAGGAGACCCCAGUUUGAUUUCUGGGUCAUGAAG